rnacentral:rRNA from 1 species
GACGAACGCUGGCGGCGUGCUUAACACAUGCAAGUCGAACGGAAAGGCCCUGCUUUUGUGGGGUGCUCGAGUGGCGAACGGGUGAGUAACACGUGAGUAACCUGCCCUUGACUUUGGGAUAACUUCAGGAAACUGGGGCUAAUACCGGAUAGGAGCUCCUGCUGCAUGGUGGGGGUUGGAAAGUUUCGGCGGUUGGGGAUGGACUCGCGGCUUAUCAGCUUGUUGGUGGGGUAGUGGCUUACCAAGGCUUUGACGGGUAGCCGGCCUGAGAGGGUGACCGGCCACAUUGGGACUGAGAUACGGCGCAGACUCGUACGGGAGGCAGCAGUGGGGAAUAUUGCACAAUGGGCGGAAGCCUGAUGCAGCAACGCCGCGUGCGGGAUGACGGCCUUCGGGUUGUAAACCGCUUUCGCCUGGGACGAAGCGUGAGUGACGGUAAUGGGUAAAGAAGCACCGGCUAACUACGUG